UCGAAGAUAUGGUAUAUGUUUAAAUACCUGUAUAUAAUGAACAGAGGUUUGAACUCUUUCUCUUUUCAACUGUCCUUUUCCAAAUUUUCCAAUAUGACUUUAUUUUUAGGUAAAAAACAUAAUAUCUUUCUCACAUGCUUAUCAGCUUUCAAUUGGAGUUGCACGUGGACUUUCAUGGCAUUCUGAUUGUGUACAGUACAAGUUCGUCAUGAUUCAACAGGCCCAUAGCUAAAGUAUCAUAAAAAAGUACAAAAUUUAUAAAAUUAAGCCUUUUCUUAUAAUUUUCAGAAACUUUAAAUUGGUGCAGAGUUUGGUGAAAGUGGAAUGAUAAAGAUGGGCAAGCAAAGGAUAAAUGUAAAAUAUGUACUGAAAGACGAUCGAAAUGGGUACAAAGCAGGGGCUUUGAAAGAAAGGUUGAAGCAUUCCAAUGUUAAGCAAUGUGAUUAUGUUUCUAUUUGUGAUGCUGAUUUUUAACCCGAACUUUUUUUUUUUUUUUUUUUUUUUUUUUGUGUAUACAAAUCGCUUCACAUGGCAUGGUCAGGUAUUUCUGAGGCAUUUACAUUAAUCAGUUACAAAUAGUUCUAUAAAUAAAGCCCAGAGAAUAUGAGGAGCAUCACAACAUGUUCCUUCUUCGUUUGAUUAGCACUUGGUAGGGCGGACUUUCUUAAGCACUAUCUUGACAUUAGUUGUUCACAAGGUUUUUAAAUUGUUGAAUUGAUAUUAACAGGCUAAGUCUGAUUAUCAAUUUCUUGCAAUUUUACUGUUAUAUCUCAUUUAUAUUUUGCUUUUUGUACGCAUAAGAAAGAAACAUGAUACUGCAACUAUUCCUACUUUGCAGUUAAGAUAAUUCGCCUGAAUCCAGUUUCCCAGACAACCUGUUUCAAAUUGAAACAAAGUCAAAAUGUUCACCCUUUGUACUUAAAGUAAAACCUCCAUGUGGAAGAAUUUCUUCUUUAUCUUUUAUUCAAUUUGAAAAAUAUAUCAUGUGUUGCAUUGGCUCCUCUUUCAAUUCGUUCCACUCAAUAUCUUACACACCGUAAUAAGUACUUUUAGUUGAUUCGAAUGGAGAGAAGAAUACUCUAUUACCAGCUUCCGUGCUAUGUUUGGAAAGAACAAACAUGAAACUAUAGGCGUAUCAUUUUGGAAAGGAAGAUCGGCCAGUAGAGCCAAAACUGCUUGUGUUCUUCAGAUAGAUUUUCACAAGACUGGAUUCUGUUUAUCUUUUAUUUUGAGAAAUCAAAAUCUCAAUUUUCCCCGCAAAUUUGUCCAUGAACUCCAGUCAAAGUAUCCGAAGUUGGUUGACCAAUUCGAGACAAUCCCACACCCGCAUCCGUCCCAGUCCCCUGUCGAGAUGGGUUCGGCAUCAAAAUUAAGAGUUCGCUUAACUUAGAAGGUGACAACAACCACCACUUCUGUUUGAUAUGAUAUAAGAGCAUUUUGGCACGCUUGCUGGAAUUACCCCAAUGUUCUAAGUAUGUCUGCUUUGUUUUUAAUGUGUUAUUCCACCUCACUUCUCCUUUUGGUUACCUAUUAUUAUUGUUGUUGGUUUUCCAAAAUAAAUUGUUACCUUCCGGGUUAUUUCACUGACAGUUUUGGGUGUGAAGUAGGUAAAUAUUUGGUUAUGUUUUUUCCAGGUUGUUAGAACUAUUCUCAAACAUUAAAAGAACAGGACAAUGGCACGCUUGAUAUAUGCUAAUGUCACCUAUGAAUACAUUCUUUUAAAGGUAAUUUAGCAUAUCGCCCGAUGAAUCAGCUGGCUGAGUUUGCCGCAGAACAUAUUGGAUAGUUUUGAGUAGCAAGCUUAUUAUUAUUCUCAUUGUUCUUUCUUCUAUUUUGAGUAGCGAGCUUAUUAUUAUUCUCAUUGUUAUUAAAUUUCACCCAUUUUCCUGUAUGUGCCAGUAGUAUUGUGUUAUUGUAGCUGGAUAAGUAUUUUGUUUAGUUCUAUACUGACUGUGGCUUUUAACAGAUUUGGUAAACUUCUCCAUUUGUAGAUGCUAUAAGUUUGUUUGAAUUUUAGAAUUAUGAAGCUGGUUUAGAGGCAGAAGUAGUUCUUCUAGAUCUGUUGAGACAAGCAAAAGUCCCUUAACAUGGUGAGCUUUCCCGAGUAGAAGGCCUUCAUUGAAAGGUAGAUUGAGCAGCCUAGAUCAAAAGCCUCACCAUGUGAACUGUUGGAAGGAUCCAAAAUCCUCUUUGAUGUCGUCAAUUACUUUGAGAAUGAUGUUAGUUGCUUAAUAUGGUUUGCUAUCAUUAUGUAUCAUGAUUAAUCUG